rnacentral:rRNA from 1 species
UACAGAGGGGGCAAGCGUUAUUCGGAAUUACUGGGCGUAAAGCGCGCGUAGGCGGCUUUGUAAGUUAGAGGUGAAAGCCCAGAGCUCAACUCUGGAACUGCCUUCGAAACUAGAGGACUUGGGUACGGGAGAGGUGAGUGGAAUUCCGAGUGUAGAGGUGAAAUUCGUAGAUAUUCGGAAGAACACCAGUGGCGAAGGCGGCUCACUGGCCCGUUACCGACGCUCAGGCGCGACAGCGUGGGGAGCAAACAGG